GACUAGCUGCUCUCUCAGAGUAUUUCACACUCUGGGGCUGGAGGGAUUUGCUUCCUGUCCACACCUGUUCAUAUAGCAUGAACCCCAUGUACAUGCAGGGUACGCUGCAAGCUGCACCAGCUGAUUUCUCUCCAGGACUCUUCUCAUCAAUAACUCUUAAAACUUACUUAAACGUAUUUUUCCAGCUGUCAGUCUUGCUUAACUUAAAAAAAAAAAGGUGUUAGGUUGCUGCCCUUGGAGAUAGGGCUCUGAGAGACAUUUGCAGGCUUCGUUUGAGUGCGAAUAAGAGAAACUCAACAUGCAUUAGGGCUGCUGAGCUGCUGGAGCAGGGGUGGGGGAGAGUGAAUCCAGUGAGAGCCCUGUGUUCAGCAGUGUCUACUGUGUGUAGAAAAGGUGCAAGAUAAUCCAUGGAGCUCUGUGCAAGUAUCCCAAUCAGGGCUUUCUCCUCCAGGAGAGGGCAAGAGAAGAGUUCAUUCCCAAGGCUCUUUGGGCCAUGGGCUGAGUGAAUCAGUGUCUUUAUUUCUCUUUAAAGAAUGAAUUGAAGUCUGUGCCUGGCUGGAUCACUGGUACCUGAAGGAGACCUCUCCCUGGAGUCUCACUUGGCUCGCUGUAACAUUUCCUCCUUUUGCUUAAAGCACUUCUUCCUCUCCCAGCCUCAUCCCCCACAUACACACCUUGUUUCCAGCGUAGUUUUUCCUGCCACGUCAUUAUCCCUAUCGUGUCCACAGCGAGAUAUUGCUUGAGCCAGAAGUUGGAUGGCAUGUGCACUGAGGUCAGGAAUUCCUCCCCUCCAGCCAGAGGAUAUGUUGUAUUUGUUGUCUGACCUCCACCAAGCUCCCUGCAGCCAGAGAGUGCCAAGCAGAGGCGGCUGGAGGGGUGCCAGCAGUCACAGGGCACUGGGCUUCCCCUGCGUCAGCCGGAAAAGGAAGUUGCUGGGAGCGAGCACAAGAUCCUUGCGCCUGCUGGGACUAACAGCCAGGCUCAGCUCGCAGGGGGAUGCUCAGGAGGCACGAGCAGAUUCUCAGCAGGGAAAAGCAGAGCCUCAGCUCUAAUCAGCUUUCACACUGGCAGGUUUUCUGUGUGAUUUCAGUCAAUGUGCUCUUCUCUCUUGCAUGAGAUAACAUUCACCUCCCAGCUACUUUGCUGAAAAAGUUAAAUCAGCCAUGAAGCCACUUAGAUUCAGUGAUGAGAGCUUGGAAAAGGAGACAAGCGGGAUGUGGGAAGUGGAUGCUCAUCUAGAGCCAAGCAGACCUUGGAGGUUCAUGGGUCAGGCUGAUGCUGCUGUUCUGCUCUCGCAGGGGACUGACUGCUUCUCCUUCGGAUGGCUGUUGUCUUGGUGAUGCUGUCAUGGGCAAAAGCUGCCAGUGACACAGAGCUGUCACCUGGUCCCCUGCUGGCUCCCUGCAGUUUAUUUCUGUAAAUACAUAUUUGCAUUUUGUUUAUGUGGGGUAAAUACAGGGGGAGGAAGCACAAUUUCUCACUGCUGGCUAUUGGGACAACCCUCUUCUUUGCUUGCCUGGAUGAGGGCCAUGGGCUGCCACUGCCUGAUGGAGCCGGAUGAGGAUCGUAUGGCAGUGGUGUGACAUCAGACAUCAGCACACACUACUUCUGUCUUUGCAAGCACAGAAAAAUCCUAAAAUACACAAAGGCGCUCCCAGGGUGAUCAUCUCCCAGUGUGGACUAUUCAACAGCGAGGGAGAGGUGCCACACAGAUCCAGCUCAGCCCUCCAGAGGUUUGAACUGCUCCUGAAGAUGCCCACCCCUGCGGGGGGGGAGCUGGGGGUCUGGAGGCAGACAAGCAGGCUUGGCAUUGCUUGGCUCCAUCUGCAGUCAGACCUGUUGCCCAUGCAGUCUCACGGGAAGGCAGCACAGCAAAAAGCCUGACCGACUUCAGGUGAGAUUGAAUACACAGUGUUAGGGAGAGGAAAAUUGCCCACUGUAGAAGACAUGUGUGAGAGGCACAUCCCCGAAGAGGCCAGAGGAGGCCUCUACCCUAGACGCAGUAGCAGUCAGGGCAACAGGCGUCCUGCAUCAGGAAAGGGCUGUUGCUGCUGCUGUGGCUGGACAACUUCAGAGAUCAAAGCCUAGAAGGGCUGAAGAUGGUCAAGAAUGAAAGGAAGAAGACCCCAAAACCAACCAAACCAUGCUUGGCCUCUGCAAGGAGGGGAAGACAGAGGAUGGCAAAAACAGUGACUCCUUUCUGUUAUCUCCUUGCAGCUCUGCAGUGCUGUUUACCUGGAGAACUUCCACCACCCAGGAGCCACCAUCCUGCCCACCUCCUGCAAGCACCGCCGAGUUGUCAUCCACUCCCACUGCCCUGCCUGAGCUUUGCACCUCAGACAGUUGAAUGCUGGCCUCUCUGGGACACCUCAGCCCAACUUGAACAUCACCUGCAGUACAUCGCAGCCUUCCUCCAGCCUUCUUCCUCCAAGCUUCAUCCUUCCUGCCUUCACAGGACCAGGGACUCAGGUCUAUGUUGCAACCCAAGACAUUUUGUAGGGCAAGCAAACACAAGAGGAGCUGUGCAAAGGUGUGUAUAGCUGCAGAAGCACCCAUUUCACCACCAGCACCUCCUCCUCCCUACCCUUUUCUGCUGGCCUCCUUUCACUUACUUCCCACACUAACAUAAGCCUUUGUGACUUACAUCACUUUUUCUUUUUUGGUCGUACUUUACAGAAAACACAUUCACGUAUUUAACAGAUUUCUCAGAAGGUAACAACCAGGAGAGGUGACCUGCCCCAGUUUCCCACCUCUCGUCUGCUUGCACACAGAGCCAACUUCAUUUUAACAAGAGGAACUGGCUCCCUUACCUGUCUCAGAUCAGGUAAUGGAGAUCUUGGACACACCGCUUGCCAGAGUGACUAUGACAGAAAUGGUAGCAGCUGGAAGCACAAAAGCUGAGGCCAUUGCUUAGCUCCUGUGUUUGGUCCAGGGCGGAAGAUGCUGUUGAGAGGAAAGGAUAGCAGAAACGCAGGCUCCCAGUGGCUGCUGAGAACUGUCACCCUAUAUUUACUUUUUCCAGUCCUGUUGCAUUUCUGGAGCUGACACAUCUGGCAAGUUAAGAUGGUCAGGGCCGCCAGGAGCAAGAGGAUGACUAAUGCCAAGAUCCCAUUCUUCCAGGUAUUGGAAAAAGGCAUCUGUAAGCUGUGCAAGUCAAGCAUAACAGAGCUCCUCUGUAUCAUGUCUUGUUCCUCUGCGAGAGAGAGAAGGAAGGGCUCAAUGUUGCUAGUAUUGCCUCUUUACAUUAUAUGAGCCAAGCAGGAAAAGGUCUGUAUACAUAGAUGCACUGAAGCUCAGGCCCAUAUGUACAGAAUGGGUCUUGUUGCCCUCAGAGGGACUUGUCAGUAAUAUUAUUCACCUGUGCUUGUGCUCACAGGAUCAGUAUCAUUAUCACAGAUCUAUUCUCAUCAUUGGCAUAGAGACAGGUACCUGCUGGAUUGCCCUGCUUUUGUCCAGAGCAAUUCACAAAGCAGCUGAUGGUCUUCCCUGAGGAAAGGCCACUAGAAAUGUGAUGCACCUGUGAUUUUCCCACAAUUUUUUUUCAGUCUGCUUCCUUACCCUCCAUAUAUCACUGCUUCACACUCCUGGCUGCUUGUCAUUCUGCUUAUUACCUUCUGACAAUGCCUGACAGGAGAUGUUUGGGGACAGUGUAAGACCAGGAUAAGCACCCAAUGAUAUUUUCCCCUAAAAUGAUCCUCAGACUCCUGCAAUAUGCAGCUAAGGGCCUUACUUCCUUCUGAUAAGCCUCAGUGGAUUUUUUUUUUGUUUCUAUUAAUUGCCUUCUUAAGCUAUGUCAGGUGCUAGUUUCCACAGUAUCCUCUACCAUGAAGUUCUCCCACCCAGCACAAGGACUCUCUCCUUUAGUUAGCUGACUUCUCACAUGAUGGUUUGAUUUAUCAUUACCUAAAUCCUGAACUGGAAAGAGAACAGCAGAGAGUGUUCCCCAUUCACCAUCUCCAGACACUGUUGAUGCCAGAACUCUCUCCUGUCCUUCAACCACCCUUUCCCAGGCUGGGUAGUCCUAGCUUAGCCAGUCAUUCCUCCUACAGAAGUUAUUCCAGAUCUUUUCUCAGCUUUGUUCCCUUUCCCUGAGCCUUAUGCUGCUCCUCCCUGCAACGUGAGAUUGUACAAGCAAGGGCCAUGUUUGCCUGAUUCACUGGAUCUUUUUCAUUGGGUUUGAUACAAAGAAAACCCUUUGCGGGGUUAUGGGAUCACCACCUGACUGGCUGCGUUCCUGUGCUGACAUUGGCAUCCAGGAGUUCACUAGCUUGACUUGCUUACUGUGCUGAUGAGAAAUGUGCUGGCCAGCAGUCACGAAAUUUUUGGCUUAGCAGGCAGCUUCAUCGGAUAAGGAGAUUUUGGUGCCUUUCUUUCAGCUGUGCCUACAGUAAAUAGUCACUCAUUUGCAGACCUGUUCAGGCAGCAAGACACUUGCAGAGCUGUAGUUUGUAGAGCAACUCCAGGAGGUCUAAGGCAGGCAAAGGAGACACUGGGAAAAGGAGGAGAGACAGGGAGAAGCAGGAUUGGGUUAUCCACUUGUUGAUCUGUUGGGCAGGCGUGAGAGCCUGAUGAGUCUUUGUAGCAGGACACAAGGGAAGGUCUCUGGAAAUUUGGAGAAAGGCAUCUGGAGAGUUUGUCAUCUGCCCCUGGAAGGAACCUGACAGUCUUAGGAAAAGGCAGUAGCUUAGUCUGGGUUCUGUGUUUAUUUGCUCCAAGAUGAAUGGUGGUCUGUUGGAUUAUGGCUUGGCAUAGCCUUUCAUCCUUGCUUAGCCUGAGUAAUCAAAAUGAGGACUGGAGGAAGGGAUUUACCCAGUGCCCUCCAGAUAAGGAUCCCUUAAGAACUUUAUCAGCUUUUUCAGGACAGAACUGAAUCCAGCUGGAAAGGAGAAGGGAUGGAGAGCUCAUGUAUGAGCAGCCCUUCCCAUCCACACCUUAACACCUAUGAACAAUAAAGCUCUGGUAGGGAAUACCACUUGUUGUCUUCCUUUUUUGACUGUUUAAGGUGAGAUUCAAACACUAAUCUUGCCAGGGGAGGAAACAUUUUACACACCUCUAGCAAACAAGAGCAGUCAAAAACCAUGCCCAGCUUUGGACAAGAGCUGUUCCAAGAAAUUGCUGCUGGCUUGUGCAUCCCAAAACAAGUUUUAAAGCAGAAAUCAGUUUAAUCAAACUUCCUACACAGAAUCCCUGAAUAUUCAUUAUUUCUUCACCUCAAAACAAGUUGAGAUUCAUAUCAGUAUUUCUUUCUAUGAGUUCUCAUCACUCACUAUAUUAUCUGUACCUUUGGUGCAGAACCCCAUCCAGCUGCUGGGGCACUGCAAACUAUACCACCAGCAAUCACUGCUGGAGAUGAACCAAUAGCAAAGAAUAGGAGGUGACUGGCAGAAAUAUCCUUCUGUGAGGAAGACCUAAAUCUCAGUCUAAAUAAACACUUCCCAAUAAUAUGCUUCCUGAAAAAAAAAAUUGGGACUAAGAAUAGCCUUUAAAACUGCCCAAGCAAUUUCACUCACUACUAACCUGCAAUGAGAUACUAUCUUUAGGCUACAAGGCUUCUUCCUAGGAUGGGGCCUUAUAACACCACCUCUUCCUGUGCUGACCAAUCCUUGUACUUGUGCUUAUGAAGCUGAGCCUCCUUCCACUAGCAGGCUUAGCAAACUCCCAAAACCUCCAGGGAAAGAACAUAGCCAGAUCUUGCCCAUAAAUACAAGAGCCCAUAAUGACUCCAUGCUCACCCAGAUGGUACAAAGCCAUCGGUACAGAUGGCUGCCCAAAGCCUCACACAUCUUUAAUCCUUGGGCAUCCUCUCAGCUCACAGAACACCAGGGAUAUUGAACUAUUGGAUGUGUGUCUUGGGGAAGGGAAAUAGUAAUUGAGCCAAGGGUACCAUCGCAUCAGUGAGGGGAACACAACAUUUCUGCCAGUACAGAGUGGGCUCUCAUCAGGACAGGGGGAUUUUGGCAGAAUCUGUGAGCCAAGAACACCUAGGUGUUACCAACUAGAUGCUGAUAUCCUCCUGUGAUAAGAUCCUGAAAGCAGAGGAGUCUUGCCCACUCCCUUGUAAGGGCAUGAGUGAGCAAGGGAGGGACAGGAGACCCAUGCACUGACUGGCUUGUCCUUGAAAAGCCUCCUAACAUUGUUAACCAUCACUGAAUUCUCUGUGUGGGCAGUGGACACUUGCAUUUCCAAACAAACCCAUUAACUGGCUAUCAUUCAUCUGAGAGAAGUUACUUUUGAGAACCUGCAUGUGAAUUACAUAGCAGAUAUAUAAAUAAGACCACACAGUGCAGUUGAAUGCCUCCAUAACUAUGAUGACAAGCCCAGCACUCAUGGACCUCGGUUAAAGUCAGCAACACCUUGCAAAAGGUCUGGUAUAAAGACAGCCACUGCCCCAGCAUUGCUAAGUGAGCUGGACUGCUCUAUUGUGAGCAACUUCGCUGCUGUCAUGCAACAGGGGCACGACAGGCUUGACACUGCCCGCGCAUGUCCCUGUCCUCCCUAUGGCCCUAUCACCUAAACCAGGCUGUCACUUAUUGCCUGUCCUGUGAAUGACAGCCUACAUCAGACCACGCGCUUCUGCACAUGUACAGUUGCAACUCUGCCAGUAACAGAAACUAUCUCACCCUCCUCCUCUUUUCCCAAGCCCUUCUCCAAAAGUGCUGCAGGCCCAUGAAAGGCAACCCCAGAAGGAGCUCGGCUACACUACUAGAACACCAACAGCCCUGCCAGGGCCCCACAGGCUGGGGACAUCAUUGUAUUUCCCUGCAAAACCAAGAGGAUUCCCUUCCCAGUUCUUCCCAGGUACAUAACUCAACACUGGGCAACUUAAACAGAAAUCUUACCUUCAGAAACACUGUAAAAGCAGGUCCUUGGGAGCCCUCUGAGAGCAUACACGCACCUUGCCACCACCAAUGUGGUAAGAGAUUGGUUUGCUGUUCUAGAAAAACAAGUUACUAUCCUGCUCAGCAAGACAAUACUGGUGAAGCCGGCUCAUAACAGAGCAUAUUGGAACAAUGUGAUGGAAAUUCUGCUGCUUAAUUAACUCCAGCAAAACUGCAGAGGGCUGGUGCUUUGGGUGCCUGCUUGGAAAAUCUCUCCAUCAGGGUCAGUGAGAGCUGCUCCACACCAAACUCCCUUGCAGCUUCCAGGGGAGGCCCAACAGGCACUGGGCAGGACAUGAAGGAAAAAGGCUGAGCUUCUAGAUGAUUGUAAGUGAGCAUUUAUAACUCCUUACUGCUCUUGGUGAAACCAAUCCAUAGUGGUAUGUGAAGUCCUCCCAGCUCUGCAAGCCCAUAGAAAGCACAGGGUAAAUGAGUGGGCUAAGAGUACAUGCUUUUCAUCUGCUUUUGCUAUGCAGUUGUUUUAACUCUUCUUUCUCUAUCUAAAGCAAUAGGAUGGCUUUUUGUUUUUCACAAGUAUGUUCUGUGAAUGUCGGGGCUGGGGCUGUUGCACACACUACAGGAGCUCGGUGCAUAGUCUCAGCUGUGCCAAUGCCACCCCUUACCCUUCCAGGCCUGUCAGGCAUAGAAUCCAGGAGCAUAAAGAUGUUUUAAAUGCUUAGGGGCAAUGAGCCAUCUGAAAAGCAGGAGUGGUUCUCUUUCAGAAGAUGGUGCUAUAUUACAUACCAUCUUUCAGUGCUUUCCUUCCUCCCUUGUCUGGUUUUCACUCCUUACCCCACCUGGGGUUCAAUAAUUUUCCCUGAGAAGUCUUGGAUCAGUCCCAUGCUUUCUCCCAAGCCUUGGGAGCUCUGCUUUCUCUCUAUCAAGCCAUCCAAAUCCAGCCAGAUUUCUUCCCCAGAGCAUUCAUUAGCUGAAUCUAACCCACCCUGUUGGGAUUAUAGCUAUCUUUGAUCCUGCUGUAGUUAGGAGACAUGGCUGCUUGCCACGUAGCGUGUCUAAUUUAGAUUUGCUUUGCAUGCUGUGGCACAGAAGGGGGAAUGGAUCCCCUGGGAGCCUGCUGUGAAGAAAGCAGCAGCUCCCCACUGCAGUCAGGGAUGAACAAACCAGUCUUUUUUUUCCGUCUUUGUGGGAGGUGCCACAGAGAAAACUCUUUGGUGCUUUAUAUUCUAAUUAUCUUCAAGUGCAGCCUCACUACUUGAUUUGCGGUUACUGCGCAUUAGAGAUGAGCUGAUGCUUCUAAUCCAGCUACAAGGAACACAAUUAGCUAAACUACACCUAGAAGUCAGGGCAGGCAGGCAAUGUUUCCUAGACAAUUACAAUAUGUCCUGGGGAGUAUUUCUACACCCAGAAACAGAGGUGCUUUAACUAUCUACAAAGCAUAAUUAGGGUCUGAACUAAGCAUCUAAGUGAAGUGUGAAACAAGGCAAAAACAAUACAUAGGGUGUAAAGAAGUAAAUUAGGGUGGGAACUGCUGGCUUUGCAGGAUACUUAGGGUCUGUGCACUGUCCUGAUGACACAUUGUGGUUCUUGGGAUGUGUUAAUUACUAGUGAGGUAGGAAACAGCGAGUAGCACGAGAGGAUUUGCACGAGUUGCUUGUAGGGUGCAUAUGCAAACAGCAGCUGUGCUCGUCCUUUAUUUCCUUUCGUGGAUAUUAUGGGCUGCUGUGUGCCAGCCUGAUGGCAGGGCAGCUUGUCUUAGAACUUUUUCUUAGUGCUCUAAAACAUCUUCAAGAGCUUGAGGAAUUGUAAACAAUUCACCUCUCCCACUGCAUACCUGCCUUUAAUUGCAGAUGAGAUAGGCCGUGACACAAUAUUGCUGGUUAAAGUUUCCAUCCCCCCAGCUACAUGGUCCUGAAUCCCAUGUGCCACCAAUUUGCCCUCUAGCUUGGAAAGGCUUAUCAUCUGUGCAGGCAUCUGACCUAGCAUGUCUCUUCCUCCUGCUGGGGACUGUGUUUCCUCCCUUGGUGGGUGCAAUUGGUUGAGAGAGGCAAGACUAAUCUCACAUAUUCAUAAAGCUGUCAAUUUGUAAGUCCUAGCCAACCUGGGAAUGCUUUGACUGGCUAGCAUUUAUGGUGCGGGUGCCAGAUGAGUGGGAGAAGUGAGGAAGGAUGGGGCUGUGAUGCUGUGCCCUAGGAGGAGAAAUACAAGAUGUCUGUGGUUUGUUUGCAGCUGUGAGCAGGGGAAUGGGUAAAAUAGGUCAAAACUCUUUUUGCCCUAUGGGGAGAGGGGCUUUCCCCCUUAAUUUUGGGGUGGGUUGUUUGUUUGUUUGUUUUUUGUUUUGUCAGUGUGUGUUUUCCCUUUGGUAAAAGAUGAAAUGAAAAGGAGGUGCUGGGAGGAAGGAGUGACUGAAGAACUAAGCACACAGAAAAGAUGUGUUGGAAAUGAUAAUGAAAAAUCGUAAUUUUCUAUGCAAAAGGGAAUUCAGGCAAGAAGUAACUCCCUUUCAGACUAUUUUAGUAGAGGAUUAUGAGUGACAGAUGGCAAGACCAUGAGCCAACAAUGUGCCCUCGUGGACAAGAAGGCCAACGGUAUCAUGGGAUGCAUUAAA